rnacentral:ncRNA from 2 species
UUCUUAUCAAGAGAGGUGGAGGGACUGGCCCUUUGAAGCCCGGCAACCGUUGACAAUUGUCAGUGCGGUGCUAAUUCCAGCGGAGUAAUGGCUCUGGCAGAUAAGGU